AAAGCUUUCACAAAGUUUAAGAAGUAUGUCUUUAAAAUACCAACAGAAACUUCAAAAUAAAACAGGAAACAACUCAACUACACAAAGGAAGUGACACUAAGACAA